ensembl:lncRNA
GAAAUCCAAGAAGUAACUUGACAGUUGAUAACCACAGCUGACAGCCACAGCUUGUAAACCCAGUUUGAUGAUCAGCGUAACAGCAGUGGACUUCACAUUUGGGGCAGUGCAGAACGGCCAAGCUCAGACGGUGCGUCAUUGGAGCAAGAAGGUGAAAGACAGGAAGUUGUUGUUGCUGUCGUAGUGUUAAGUGGAUAAGUUGAAAAUGGCUGAAGAAGCAGUGGGGAAACCAAUUGAGCAGCUUAAAAAGGAAAGGACUGCUGCAAAAAUAAGCUUCACGAGACAGGUUAACUUCCUUGGCAGAGAAGCUCACAGGUUAAUGGAAGAGGAGCUCAAGGAAGAGUUCAAGAAGCUCUCACUCAUCGCACGGAGGGUGUUCGAGACGAAUGAUGAUUACAGAUCUGGACUUCUCGCUGAAAUGGAGGCUGAUGAGAGCAAAGAUGAGGAGCCAGUGCAGCAGGAAGCUGACAUUAAGAAGACUGUAAGUGAGUGCGAUUUGAAGUUUAAUGAAAUUGAAAGAAUUGUUCAAAAUAACCUCUGGUCAAGAUAUGGAUUGCAAGAAGUGACUGGUGCAGUGGCUGAAGCGGAGAGAACCUGCAAUCGAGUUGCAAGCAUAGCUAUUGACAGCAGUGAGUAUGAAAACUAUGAGGUGCAACUUGACGUUCUCGCAAAACUUGUUAAAGAGGCAGGAAGAGCUUUGUCAAGCUGGGAGAAAUGGACCCCUGUUGAUGAAAGGGGAGUCUUGGAGAGACGUGUAAGGAGGUUAAAGGAAGACAGCAAUGACCUCGAAGCAAAGAAGGGCGAGUUCGCCAGAGUGCGGAAGGUCGCUGAAGAUGCAUUGGUCGCAAGCCCCAGUAUAAUAACUAUGGCAAACGCAACACCACAUAUAACUCAAGCCGCACCUAUUGUGAGGUUCAGACCAGCAAGUUUGCCUGUGUUCGAUGGAAACAAGAGAAAUUUCUAUCGGUGGAAGAAGGACUGGGAACAACUUCAACAACAGGGAGAACCUUCUGGAUCUGUGGAAGUCAAGAAAAUUCAAUUAUUAGACAGCAUAGAUGUCAGGAUUGUGAAAGAUCUCCGACUGUCCUCCUACAAUACUGCUGUAGAUAUUUUCAGAGUGCUUAAAAAUCGAUAUGGUAACAAGUAUGCGAUUACAAUGGAAAUUGUGGAGGAAUUAGAGAGAAUUCCUGUGAUGAGAGGAAAUCAGCCACGCAAAGUGAUUGAACUCGUCCAGACAGUGGAGAAGGCUUUAGUGGAUCUUACUGACCUUGGAGACAUGGGGGUCAUAAAAAACCCU